GAUGAAGAACGUAGCGAAAUGCGAUAAGUAAUGUGAAUUGCAGAAUUCAGUGAAUCAUCGAAUCUUUGAACGCACAUUGCGCCCGUCAGUAUUCUGGCGGGCAUGCCUGUUCGAGCGUCAUUACGCCCCUCAAAUCCCCUGUGGACUUGGUGUUGGGGAUCGGCGAGGCUGGUUUUCCAGCACAGCCGUCCCUUAAAUUAAUUGGCGGUCUCGCCGUGGCCCUCCUCUGCGCAGUAGUAAAACACUCGCAACAGGAGCCCGGCGCGGUCCACUGCCGUAAAACCCCCCAACUUUUUAUAGUUGACCUCGAAUCAGGUAGGACUACCCGCUGAACUUAAGCAUAUCAAUAAGCGGAGGA
rnacentral:misc_RNA from 1 species